rfam:Candidatus Synechococcus spongiarum 142 NODE_15, whole genome shotgun sequence.
GCCGGCAUAGCUCAGUGGUAGAGCAGCGCUUUUGUAAAGCGAAGGUCGUCGGUUCAAAUCCGUCUGCCGGCU